rnacentral:rRNA from 1 species
CCUACGGGUGGCAGCAGUGAGGAAUAUUGGUCAAUGGACGGGAGUCUGAACCAGCCAAGCCGCGUGCGGGAGGACGGCUCUGUGUAUUGUAAACUUCUUUUGUCCGAGAAUAAACCUUGAUACGUGUCUUCGGCUGAGAGUACUUUACGAAUAAGCAUCGGCUAACUCCGUGCCAGCAGCCGCGGUAAUACGGAGGAUCCAAGCGUUAUCCGGAUUUAUUGGGUUUAAAGGGUGCGUAGGCGGAGUGAUAAGUCUGAGGUGAAAUGGGGGGGCUUAACCCCGGAACUGCCUCUAAUACUGUAUGGCUAGAGUGUAGAUGAGGUAGGUGGAAUGCAUGGUGUAGCGGUGAAAUGCGUAGAGAUCAUACAGAACACC